rnacentral:rRNA from 1 species
AGGGAAUAUUGGACAAUGGAGGAAACUCUGAUCCAGCCAUGCCGCGUGAUAGAUGAAGGCCCUCUGGGUUGUAAAUAUCUUUUAUCUGGGAAGAAACUCCUCUAUUCUUAGAGGCCUGACGGUACCAGAGGAAUAAGCACCGGCUAACUCCGUGCCAGCAGCCGCGGUAAUACGGAGGGUGCAAGCGUUAUCCGGAUUCACUGGGUUUAAAGGGUGCGUAGGCGGGUUGAUAAGUCAGUGGUGAAAGCUCCGAGCUUAACUUGGAAACUGCCAUUGAUACUGUCAGUCUUGAAUGUCGUAGAGGUAAGCGGAAUGUUGCAUGUAGCGGUGAAAUGCUUAGAUAUGUUACAGAACACCAAUUGCGAAGGCAGCUUACUAUGCGAUGAUUGACGCUGAGGCACGAAAGCGUGGGGAGCAAAC